rnacentral:rRNA from 1 species
CUACGGGGUGCUCCAGUGGGGAAUAUUGCACAAUGGGGGAAACCCUGAUGCAGCAACGCCGCGUGGAGGAUGACGCAUUUCGGUGUGUAAACUCCUUUUAUAUAGGAAGAUAAUGACGGUACUAUAUGAAUAAGCACCGGCUAACUCCGUGCCAGCAGCCGCGGUAAUACGGAGGGUGCAAGCGUUACUCGGAAUCACUGGGCGUAAAGGCGCGCAGGCGGCCUUUUAAGUUGGAUGUGAAAGCCUACGGCUCAACCGUAGAACUGCAUCCAAAACUACUAGGCUAGAGUCUGGGAGGGGAAGAUGGAAUUAGUUGUGUAGGGGUAAUAUCCGUAGAGAUAACUAGGAAUACCAAAAGCGAAGGCAAUCUUCUGGAACAGUACUGACGCUGAGGCGCGAAAGCGUGGGGAGCAAACAGGAUUAGAUACCCUUGUAGUC